rnacentral:rRNA from 1 species
UACGAGGGGGGCAAGCGUUGUUCGGAUUCACUGGGCGUAAAGGGUGCGUAGGUGGCUUGGUAAGUUUGAUGUGAAAUCUCCGGGCUUAACCCGGAAAUGGCAUUGAAUACUAUUGAGCUGGAGGUUUGGAGGGGGGACUGGAAUUCUCGGUGUAGCAGUGAAAUGCGUAGAUAUCGAGAGGAACACCAGUGGCGAAGGCGAGUCCCUGGACAACACCUGACACUGAGGCACGAAAGCUAGGGGAGCAAACAGG